GCCUGCAACAUUUCCGUCGUGCCGGUUUAUUGGGUUUCCGUCCGAUUAUGUCUCGAUCAUGAGGCAAGGAUUAUUGCUUGAAGUGGAUAGUGUCGUCAGACGAUUGCCCCAUAUGCGUAGCCAACAGUUGCUCCGAUGGCGUGCGCUCCAUAAGGUGCAGGGAGUCCAGAAAAAAAAACUCUGCAAAUUGAUCAAAUUCCAUUCCCUAGUCAAUUCUUACACUUUUGAACAUGCAAAUAAACUAUGGCAUUUGUGUGAAAAAGUUGAAGUGCUGAAACGGUGGUAGUGAGGAGUGAGGACACAACGCAUCGCACCAUUGGGUUCUGCCGAACUAUGUCCUUUCGACAAAUCAUUCUUCAACCAGUCAAGUCUCCGGCCUCAGUCUCCCAUCCCACCACCUCUAUCUAUUUGUUGCUAUUCCAAAUUUCCUGCCUCCAAAUUCACAUAGUACCUGUUGAACACACAGAAUUAGACAACAUGCUGCUAGUUGAAAACCUGAAGUGCAUCUAAUAGACCCGAAAGAAGCAGUGCACACCUUGCUUCAAAAAAUGUAUUGGACUGUACUGACACUCUGACAAUGACAACGCUCCGUGCCUCGAGUUACUUGCUCUAAACAUAACAAUGCAUU
rnacentral:lncRNA from 1 species